UACGGAGGGUGCAAGCGUUGUCCGGAUUUAUUGGGCGUAAAGGGCGCGUAGGCGGUGCGGUAAGUCUGUAGUGAAAUCUCUGGGCUCAACUCAGAGUCUGCUGCAGAAACUGCCGUGCUUGAGUGUGGGAGAGGUGAGUGGAAUUCCCGGUGUAGCGGUGAAAUGCGUAGAUAUCAGGAGGAACACCGGUGGCGAAGGCGGUGGGCUGGGCCGGCACUGACGCUGAGACGCGAAAGCGUGGGGGAGCAAACAGG
rnacentral:rRNA from 1 species